CAUUAAUUCAAGCAAAAAAAAAAGUUUGCCUUCUAGACUCACAGAGAUAAUGAUCUGCCUUUGCCUAUCAAGAAGUCAUUCCCAGAAAGACCAAGGAGGAGAGGAAUGCUUUUCCAAACUGGCAGAGGACAGAUGGCUGGAGCAUUCAGAUUUUUACAGCUUUGCAGCCACAACUGUAUGUAUUUUCCAUAAAUACUGGGGAAAGAAUGCAAAAACCUCCAUAUUUCAAAGAAGCAGUGCAUAAAACUAUGAGCAG